GCCACCACCACCAGCAUCCAUCGCUUCCAAACAGAGGCGUACACAGGCUAUUCCAAAACUUCCCGACACCAACGAUCGCAGGGCAUGCACGUUUCAUGGUCCGGGGAGGAGACAAUUUACAAGGCCAGUUGUCAAUCAGCACGCCACGCUCUACUGGUACUACUGUCUCCUCGCUCCGUCUCCGUCGUCCGUCCCCUCGGGCGCGCCGCCGGGCUCCGUCGCCGCCGCGGCCCCAGCGCCAGCGCCAGCGACGGCGCCGCCUCCGCCCUCGUCCGUUGCCUGGGCGAGCACGGUGGCGCCGACGCAGGGCCCGCAGGUGCGCUCCACCCAGGCCUCCAGGUCGCGGGCGCCGCCGUGCGCC
rnacentral:misc_RNA from 1 species